GUUGCCUUGAGCAGCAGAUUUUGCCACCUCUGUUCCAGUCUGUGCAGUGAAGAUGAAAAGACCCUUCUCUUCUCUUGAGAGAGCUUUUCCUGACCACGCUGAGAGGGAGGUGUGACUACGGAAGAAUGGCUGGAGAGAGGCAACGCUGCUUGGCUUUGAAGAUGGAAGGAGAAAGCCAGGAGCUAAGGAAUGCAGUAACCUCCAGGAUCUGGAAGAGGCAAGAGGACAGGAGCUCCUCUAGAGUCUCUGGAAAGGAGCACAGCCCCAGCACCUCGAUUUUAGCCCAGUCUGACCCAUGGCUGCCUUCAGACCUCCGGAACUGUCAAUUCAUAAAUUGGUUUUGUUUUAAGCCUUAUAAGUUUGUGGUAAUUUGUUACAGCAGCAUUAGGAAACUAAUACAGUGGAAGACAGUUCCAGGCAGAGGGAACAGCAUGUGCAAAGGCCUGGAG
rnacentral:lncRNA from 1 species